rnacentral:lncRNA from 1 species
AAUUAAAAUAGACUUAUUUCUAAGAAAAACAGAACCACGUGAGUCUUAGGCAGCAACAGGGGCAGUUUCAGAAGGUUUGUCUCAGUCUCAAUAGAGACAGACCAAUCCUAAAAUUCUGGGCAAAAGAAAUAAUAUUUCGCCUUUUAAUUAUUCUAAUAUUUUUCUUUUUGUAUUUUUGUUGCACAAGAUUUAUUUAUAAUCAAAGUUCUUUAAAAAGAUAUUUUAAAUAGAAUUAAUCAAAGUAAAUUAAAAAGAAAUAUAUCUAUAUUAUACUUACUACUAAGUAAAAAUAAUAAUUUGGAUGCGCUUAAAAAAAUGAUGCCCUGGACUACCAUUCCUCCCGUCCACCCUCAGGGGCACCCUUAUAGAGACAAUUGUGACAGUUUCGGAUAGUUCAAUUGCUUGAUUAAUCUAGAUAUUUAUUGGUAAUAAGAUUUUUUUUUUUUGAACAAGCCAAAAUGCAAAAUAAUAAAUCACCAAGAGUGUUUCAUCUCGCACAAGGUGUGCAAAAGAGAAACACCCCAAAAAUUGUACAAAACAGUCACGAAUAUCUCAUACUGGAGCACCUCCAAAUUCCAAGGAAAACAGACAUAAAUUACAGCAUUAGACCCAUAAAAGAUAAAGGAGACCUCCACUAGUCAUGAUGAUAGCUGAACACGAAAGUAAUGAGAUUCGCCUUCAAUCACUGGAAAGAUGUCAUUUUUAGCUUGUCUGUUAAUAUAGUUGGAGCCAAUGCCUUGUUAUUAAAAACUCUGUUAUUCCUGUCCUUCCAAAUGAUUCAGACACACUCAAAUUGAUGUCUAACCAAUGGAGAAGAUCAUACCAGACGCUGCCAAAGGUUGUGCAACCAAGAAACAAGUGACCUGCAUUCUCCUCACUACCGCACCCUCCAACACAACUGAUAUCGUCAUACUGAAGAACACGACGGCGCAAAGAGAUUAUCUUUUGUCGGAAGACGGUUACGAAGAAGACGCCAAGCAAAAAUUGAAACCUUUAAUGGGACUUUCUUAUGCCAAACGUCAUUGAACAAUCCCCUUGCAAUAGGUUCAUCACCUGUUGUUAGAAAUUUAUAUGUUCCCUUAACAGAGUAACCAUUAACGGGAUCAAGAAGCCACCUCUACUUAUCUGACAAAUAAUCCUGCAAAACAAUAUCAUGUAACAAGACAUAACAUUGCCUAACACAAUCCUCCUCCCAAGUAGGGCUGGAAAUGAGCCGAGUGGAAUCGAACCUGUUUGAGUUCGACUUGGCUUGUUAAGAAUUGGCUCGGUCCGGACCUCGUUCGAGCUUGACCCGAACUUUUUUUUUCAGUCCGAGUUCGGCUCGUUUAAAGUUCACGAACAGUUUGGUUCGGCUCAUUAGGUUCAUUUCGUUUGUUCAAAGCACGUAACUUUAGGUUAGGUAUGGAAAUAAGUAAAGCCGCUUGAACCACGUAACUCAAAAGUCAAAAGAAUUUAAAUUUUUUACCCAUAAAAUAUAUUGGAAUUUAUACCAAUUUUUAAUGGACUGAACGAGACUAUUAUUACACAUAGUAAUUAACAUCGAUAUGCAACCACCAAAUUGAAUUUUGCCUUCUUGUGCCAUAUGUUUCUCUUAUUAUAUAUAUGAUCAAUUAUCUAUAAAUUUUAAAAUAUUUUUUUAAAUGUUAUAUAUAUAUAUAAUCGAGUCAUCUCGUGAACCAAACGAGCCGAACUACAUAUAGCUCAAGUUCAGCUCAAUUAAUUCACGAACUUAAUUUUCAGCUCAAGUCUGGUUCAUUUGGUUCAUGAACCAAGUUCAAUGAAUCAACUGUCGAAUCGAAUUACGAACUUUAAUCGAGUUGGUUCGGUUCAUUGUCAGCCCUACUCCCAAGCAAAUAGGCGCCUCCUCAACACCCAAGCACUCCCCAUCCUCCCAACCCUGCAUCGCCAUAUCCUCUACAGUUGCCCAUUUGUCAAUGGUUAAAUCAAAAAGGCGAGGAAAUCUUAACCGUAAAGGCACACUUCCCACCUAGUUAUCCGUCCAAAAGAAAGUGGUACCUCCCCCGCAAUCCAUGCGCAUACAUUAUCUUCAAACCAACUUCCAUCCCCCCACCCUACACCACCACGAAUGCGUGACUGCAUCCGCCACCAUAAAGAACUGUCACGCCCCCUCCUUCAGGCGCCCACCUUCCUCCCCGUACCUAGCCUUCAGGACUCGAUACCACAACCCCUCCUUAUCAACCAACAUCCUCCAACUCCACUUCCCUAGUACUGCUAAAUUAAAUUCAUACAAUCUCCGCACACCUAGCCCUCCUUCCUCCUUAGGGACGCAAAUCGAAUCCCAAUUCACCCAGGCAAUUUUCCUAAAAUCCGCACCACCCCCCCAAAAAAAUCUUUUUAAUAAAGUUGUAAGGGAAGAAAAUAUACAUGUGGGAGCCUUGAAAAAGGAAAGAAAGUAAACCGGAAGAGAAGACAGGACAAAUUUCAACAAUACCAGACGGCCAACAAAAGAUAGAAACUUAUUUUUCCACACCGAUAACCGAGACACAAUGUGAUCAAGCACAGGUUGCCAAAAACUACACCGGCGCAUAUCCGCACCAAUAUGUAAUCCCAAAUAUAUAAAAGGAAUUUUACCCGUCCAACAAUUCAUAACCGACACUGCUUCAGUCAACCAAGAGUCUGACACAUUGACACCCGUUAGCAUACUCUUGUGAAAAUUAACCUUCAAUCCGGAUGCCGCCUCAAAAAGAAUUAAAACUGCCUGCAUUGACCUCACAUUCAACCAACUCUUCUCCCCUAUAAUCAAUGUAUCAUCCGCAAAUUGAAAGUGAGUUAACUGCACCUCAUUGUGAUUACCCACAUGGUAACCAGUAAACAAAUGAGCAUCCACCAAAUACUUCAUCAUGACAUUAAACCUCUAAGCCGCUAUCAGAAACAAAAUGGAGAUAGAGGGUCCCCUUGUCGGAGCCCCCUUUCUAAAGGAAACUCCUCUGUAGGGCUGCCAUUCACCAACACGGAUGCCACCGUAGUUCCUACACACUCAGCAAUCCAUUUCCUCCAAAGAGUCGGGAAAUUCAUUUUAACCAUGACCGUAUCAAGAUAUUAUUUUUAAUCAUAUAUUUCAUUACUUUUUAACUUAGCUCAAUGUUUUAGGAAUUUAUUCCGAAUUUCAAUUUUGCUUAUUAUAUUAGUCUAAACUGUUUGUUUAAAAUGAUUUCUUUCCUAUUUAAUUUGUUGUUGAACUUUGUUAUACAAUUUCUUCUAAAUUCACAUCAUCAAUUUAAAUUUUCUCAAAUUAUUAAUCUAAAAUAUGAAAAUUCUUUUCAUCUUUGUGAAAUCAUUUAUUAGAGAAUGAGUCAUAAAAAUGAAAUGUGUUUUUUAGUUAGGCGAAUGAGUUAGAAGCAUCUAGUAUCACAUUUUAUUCAUUGUGGAAACACACACUUUUAACAUUACUAUCUAUUAUUUAUAUCUAUUGUCAAAAAACACUAUUAUUAAUAUCUUAGAAAUGCAUAAAUACAAUCCAUGCUCUCUAAAUUUUACAUGACAAUUUACCAAAUGUAUAUCGUUUAAAAAGUUUCAUUGUGAAUGAGUUUGUCUUAUUAUAUUAUUCUAAAAUGUUUCAUGAUUUUGUUGUCUAAUAUGAAAUUAUUUUUUCCUAUUUGUAGUUGAAUAUUGUCAUGCAAUUUCUUCUAAAUUCUUUUUCUCAUAUUAUCAAUAAAAAAAAGUUAUUUCAUCUUUGCGAAAUCAUGAUUGGAAUGGAGAAUGAGUCAUAAAAAUGAAAUGAGUUUUUCAUUUAGGUGAAUGAGUUAGGAGCAUCUACUAUCACAUUUUAUUCAUUAUUAAAAUGCACACUUUUAACACAAUUAUUUUUUUAUUUUUUUAUCUUAGACAUACAAAAAUACAUGUCAUUCUCUCUGGAUUUUUCUUCCAUUUUUUCCUUCAUUUAAACUAUUUAAUCAUUUUUAUAAUAUUAUUUAAAUUUUAAAUCAUCAUUUAAAAAAUUAGUGAAAUAGAAACAAUACAUUACAACAAUAGAAGUAACAAUCCAUAAAUAUUCCCUAAAAAAAAGAAUCCAUAACAAUAUUGGACACUAUAAGAAAAACCUUAUUUUAACCUUAUAUAAAAAAAUAUUUUGGUGGGGGGUAACAUCUUUUCUUAAAUUCACUUAAUUAUUUUUACCAUUUUAUUUGCUCUUUAAAAAAUUGCCAAUUAUUUCUUUUUUGAAAAAUAUUAGUUUACAAUAAUUAUGAUGUAAAAUGAUAAAAAAAAAAAAAAAAAAAAAAGUGAUAUUUACAUUUUUAAUGUUAACUAAACUACGAACUACAAUACUUUAAAUAUUUUGAAAACUCAGAAAUACUCAAGUUUAUUUCAAUUUCUAACUUUUUUAAGCCAUUCAUACUACUAAAAUCUUUUUUUUUUUUUUUUGUGGUGGCCAGGGUUUGAACCUCAGACCUUACAUAUAUUAAAUAUUGUCCAUACUAAUUGAGUUAACCUCACAAAGACAUACUAAAAUCUAUAUAACACAAGCAAAACAUGAUUAUUUUUUAUUCCUCUACAAAUUUUAUCCACAAGUUCAAUCUUUUCUUUUUUUUCCUUCCGAAAGUAAACUUGAAAUUUGUAGUUUUCACGUUUCCAUUUUUGAAUCAUAUUCACUAUUUGAGACAAACCAUUUCAUUCUAAUCCUAAUAUAUUACUCCCUCCGUCCCAAAUUGUAUGUCGCUUUAGGAAGAAAAAAAAUGUCCCAAAUUAUAUGUCGUUUUACAAUACCAAUGCAACAUUAAUGUUAUUUUUUCUAUUAUAACCUUAACUAUUUAUUACUAUCUUUUCUUUCAAUUCUUUCAUUUAUCUUUCUCAUGUUAUUUAUUAAGGACAAUUUUGUAAAACAACUCAUAAUAUCUUUUUUCCAUACAAUAUUAAUUGCAUUUCUUAAUAUGUGUGAAAUGCUCAAAACGUCAUACAAUUUAGGACGGAGGGAGUAGACACAACUUUUAUUCCUAUUCCUCUUUCCCCCAUUACCUCAAAGUUCAACCUGACAUUGUUCAUCCACAUGAAACCUUCAAGAAAACUCAUAUGUGCUAGUAAUAAUAGUGUUCCUUCACCCGUAUCAUUGACUAUAGAUACGGUUACUUCAUUCAUAGUUAUGGCCAUUAGCCAUGGUUAUGACAGAUAGUGAAUUAUUACCGCAAGUAACAGUGAAAAAACCAUGUCGGCGAGUGAAAUAGACAUAAGCUCAAGUAGUGGAUGAGUUGUUGGCUCUGACCGUGUGCUCGUUGAAGAACAAGUCGACGACUCAUAGCCAAUGACUUGGUUAAGCGAAAUUGUUUCUUAGCGUAGCGAAAGCGAGGAUCAUUGUCAAAACAACUGAUUUUGAUUAGCGCCAUUUAAUCAUAGAGUUGGCUGCUUUUCGGUCAACUAUGCAUAAGUACAAAUCACACAUGUGAAUUUUAACUUUUUAUAUAUGUUGGGGCCACCUACAAUUCAUAUGAAUUUUAACUAAGUACUAUCUUUGAAUAAUAAGCCUCAUCAGUAGUCGUAACGAUGGUGGAAUCAGCAAUGGCUGAACAAUAAUGCAGUUUUAGUUUCUUAUGUCACACCUAAUUUCAUAGUUUCUUAUCAAAAUGAGAUUAUUUUUUUUACAGAAGAUCUUGCGUGGGUUGAUUCAUACCUAACAAUUUUGAUAUUUUAGAAAGUGAUUGGAUGCCUUUUAGAAAUGCUUUGUUAGAAAUUAUCAGUUCCGAAUUCAAUCUUCCAAAGUUGAUGACAGAGAAGGCAAGUAUUCCUUGUGGUAGAGGAGACAAAUAUUACUUUCCAACUCAAUCAGUCAUUUUCGACUUCUGAUGUAGAGCACUUGCAAAGUCGUUCUUCGAGUAUAAUGUUAGCCUAAUAAGUAUGGUUACAGAACCAAGCACAAACACUGAAUUCACUAACACCUUAUCUUUUUCAACCUUUUAAGGAAAUCUUUUUUUGCCAACUUAUAAUAUGGACGAGACCGAACAAAACAUUUGAUUUAUGACUUGAGCUUGAUUCUGCAACUUAUGAGAUGGAUUAGGCUUAGGCAUCUGAGAAUAUCUUCAAACUCUUGGGAUGUGGGUUAUGCAACUGAUGAGAGUGACUGAGAGUAUCUUCAAAGUUUGGGAUUUGGGUGAACUUGUUAAAGAGUUGAAAAACGCUAUAUCUUUCUUUGCGGAAGGACCUGAAGGAAAGAUCGCUUGAUGAUCUUAUUGCUGGCAUUGCUGAUUUGUCUUUAAAUAAGAAAGUUUAAUUUUCUUUAAUCUUGAUCCAUCUAUUUUAACUCUAUUUAAGUAUUAGCAUUAGAAGCGUUAAUGAGUACAGAAAAUACUAAAGGAAUAAGAAUAUAAAGGAAGUUAACGAGUAAUUAGCAGCAAGGACAAUUUGAUUUAUAGUUCAAAUUAAAGUAGUCAACAACAUUCAUUACAAAUUGCAAAAUAAGAUAUAGUGUAUGUUUGGUAUAACAAUUGCAAAACGAAGUUUGAUAGAAAUCACGGCAAAAAACUAUGUCAGGGUAGAAGCUGGUAUUUGGAGCUUCUGUAGAUCACGAUUCACGACAAAAACACAUCAGGAAACGUGCAAAUAUGCUUUUGUUUGUUGCAAACACGAAACCAAACACACAUAGUUAUAGACUUCUAGUAGCUUAUAUACCACUACCAGUAACACAUCACAUUGAAAGUAUUUAUCACAUGAACACCAAACAUCAUUCAAAAUUAAAAUAGACUUAUUUCUAAGAAAAACAGAACCACAUGAGUCUUAGGCAGCAACAGUGGCAGUUUCAGAAGGUUUGUUCUCAGGCUCAAUAGAGACAACUGUGGCAGUUUCAGAAGGUUUGUUAUCAGGCUCAACAGGGUCAAUAGUUACAGCUUCUGAAGGCUUGUUUUCAGGUUCAGCCUCAGUUGCAGUUUCUGUGGGAUUGUUUUCAGGUUCUACCCAGAAUUCAGUUUUCUUUCCAGUUUUGGAAACAGUGUCAAAAACAUCUUGUGGCUUUACAUUUCCUUUCACAGUCACUUUUUGUUCCUUCAUAUCAAUGUCAAAUGAUUCUACACCUGUGAAGAACAAAUGUGUUAUUUUGAUACAAUAUUCAUAGAGGAUGUUUGGUUGGUAUAUGUCCAUCCCCUUGGUUAUGUCACAUAACACUAAUUCAAAUUCAAAUUGAAAGGUUUUGAAAAUUAUUUAAACAGUUUGAAAUGAAAUAACCAUGCUAUAGAUGUUGAAAUAGAAAUAAGUAAACAUAUGGACAGCAUAUCUUGAUUAACCUUUCAAAAAAAAAAACAUAUCUUGAUUAAUAAAAUUUAUGGGAAAAAAUAUAGAGAUAUUACAUUGUCACAAUUAUUAAUUCAACAUGAUAACAAAGAUUAUUUAUUUGCUCUAGGAAUUAAAAAUACCUUCCAUUUUUUCCAAGACCCUAUUGACUGCUCCUGAACAGCCUGAGCAUGACAUUUUUACUUUGAGGACAACGGUCUGCAAUGAUCACAAUGGAAAAAUUUCAAAUUCAUAGUAAAUAGCAUUUUUUUUUAUAAAGGUUAAGCACAUUCAUAAAUUGAAUUCAAUUUAAAAAAGGAAAAUAAUUUGAAGAUGGUGAUAAUAAGAACAAGGCCGUUCUCGUGAGUUUAACUCAGUUGAUAGAGACAAUGCAUAAUAUAUGCAAGAAUCAACAUUUGAGCCCCGGACACCUCACUUAUUCAUCUUAUAAAUGUGAAUUUCUAGCCACUAAACUACUUGACAAAAAAUAUAAGAACAAAGCAGGGCAUAAAAAAAGUAGGAAUAUCUGACAGAAUAGUCAUGUGUGGAUCCUUAGGAUAACUUGAUAAAGCAGAUUAAUCAAAAAAUGUAUUGCUAUCAAAAAAACAAAAUCAAACUAAUAACAACACAAAUUUAGGAAAAAACUGGAGGCCUACAUAUAUAAUCUAAAAGUAAAUCUAAAGAUUUGUAACAAACAAGGAAGAAAUAAUCAUUCUUUGCUUUAUUAGUGUUAGAAUUGAACUUCUACUUCGUAAUUUGUUGACAUGCAAUAACAAUGAAAUUUGUAUCAUGCAAUCAUCUUGUAUGUGAGUGCAUAUCAUCAAAAGGAAGAAAAAAAAUUGAUCAAUCUUCUCUACUUUCAUCAGAACCAAAUUUUCUAAUAUAAUUAUAAAACAAAAUACAAAAAAUUACAAAGGAUCCAUGAUAUCUCAAUUCAAAAACUCAUCAACUUCAACACAAAACGUCUAAAGCAAGGAACUAGAUCAAAGAAAAAACAUAAAAUAAUAAAUCCAGAAUCACAAUGAUCAAGCUUAAGAAAAAUAGAAGAUCAACAACAACAUAGAAAAAGAAGUAUAAAG